rnacentral:rRNA from 1 species
UACAGAGGGGGCAAGCGUUAUUCGGAAUUAUUGGGCGUAAAGGGCGCGUAGGCGGCUUUGCAAGUGACGGGUGAAAUCCCUCGGCUUAACCGAGGAACUGCCUGUCAAACUGCAUGGCUUGAGACCGGGAGAGGUGAGUGGAAUUAGCAGUGUAGCAGUGAAAUGCGUAGAUAUUGCUAGGAACACCAAUGGCGAAGGCAGCUUGCUGGGCCACUCCUGACACUGAGGUACGAAAGCGUGGGGAGCGAACAGG